rnacentral:rRNA from 1 species
CUGGUGGCGAGUGGCGAACGGGUGAGUAAUAUAUCGGAACAUACCCAGUAGUGGGGGAUAACUAUCCGAAAGGAUAGCUAAUACCGCAUACGAUCUGUGGAUGAAAGCAGGGGAUCUUCGGACCUUGUGCUAUUGGAAUGGCCGAUAUCUGAUUAGCUAGUUGGUACGGUAAAAGCCUACCAAGGCGACGAUCAGUAGCUGGUCUGAGAGGACGACCAGCCACACUGGAACUGAGACACGGUCCAGACUCCUACGGGAGGCAGCAGUGGGGAAUUUUGGACAAUGGGGGCAACCCUGAUCCAGCAAUGCCGCGUGAGUGAAGAAGGCCCUCGGGUUGUAAAGCUCUUUUGUCAGGGAAGAAACGGAGUUCUCUAAUAUAGGAUUCUAAUGACGGUACCUGAAGAAUAAGCACCGGCUAACUACGUGCCAGCAGCCGCGGUAAUACGUAGGGUGCAAGCGUUAAUCGGAAUUACUGGGCGUAAAGCGUGCGCAGGCGGUUUUGUAAGUCUGAUGUGAAAUCCCCGGGCUCAACCUGGGAACUGCAUUGGAGACUGCAAGGCUAGAGUGUGUCAGAGGGGGGUAGAAUUCCACGUGUAGCAGUGAAAUGCGUAGAGAUGUGGAGGAAUACCGAUGGCGAAGGCAG